rnacentral:rRNA from 1 species
GACGAACGCUGGCGGCAUGCCUAAUACAUGCAAGUCGAGCGAACAGAUGAAGUGCUUGCGCUUCUGACGUUAGCGGCGAACGGGUGAGUAACACGUAAGGAAUCUACCUAUAAGCGGGGGAUAACAUUCGGAAACGGGUGCUAAUACCGCAUAAUAUCUUCUUCCGCAUGGAAGAAGAUUGAAAGACGGCUCCGCUGUCACUUAUAGAUGACCUUGCGGUGCAUUAGUUAGUUGGUGGGGUAAUGGCCUACCAAGACGAUGAUGCAUAGCCGACCUGAGAGGGUGAUCGGCCACAUUGGGACUGAGACACGGCCCAAACUCCUACGGGAGGCAGCAGUAGGGAAUCUUCCGCAAUGGGCGAAAGCCUGACGGAGCAAUGCCGCGUGAGUGAAGAAGGCCUUCGGGUCGUAAAACUCUGUUAUAAGAGAAGAACAAAUUGUAGAGUAACUGCUACAGUCUUGACGGUAUCUUAUCAGAAAGCCACGGCUAACUACGUGCCAGCCGCCGCCGUAC